GACGAACGCUGGCGGCGUGCUUAACGCAUGCAAGUCGAGCGGUAAGGCCCUUUCGGGGGUACACGAGCGGCGAACGGGUGAGUAACACGUGGGUGACCUGCCCUCAGCUCUGGGAUAAGCCUGGGAAACUGGGUCUAAUACCGGAUAUGACUUCACAUCGCAUGGUGUGUUGUGGAAAGUUUUUUCGGCUGGGGAUGGGCCCGCGGCCUAUCAGCUUGUUGGUGGGGUGAUGGCCACCAAGGCGACGACGGUAGCCGGCCUGAGAGGGCGACCGGCCACACUGGGACUGAGACACGGCCCAGACUCCUACGGGAGGCAGCAGUGGGGAAUAUUGCGCAAUGGGCGGAAGCCUGACGCAGCGACGCCGCGUGGGGAUGACGGCCU
rnacentral:rRNA from 1 species